rnacentral:rRNA from 1 species
UACAGAGGUCUCAACCGUUGUUCGGAUUCCUUGGGCGUAAAGGGUGCGUAGGCGGUCGCGCAAGUCGGAUGUGAAAUCUCGGGGCUCAACCCCGAAACUGCAUUCGAUACUGCGUGGCUAGAGUGCUGGAGGGGAGACUGGAAUUUACGGUGUAGCAGUGAAAUGCGUAGAUAUCGUAAGGAAGACCAGUGGCGAAGGCGAGUCUCUGGACAGCAACUGACGCUGAGGCACGAAGGCCAGGGGAGCAAACGGG